GAAAAUAAAAGCAAUAGACAAAACAAAGAGCAGAACUUGGUUAAUAUCGAUCCCUUUCAUUAACUGAGGAGAAAUGCAUAAAUAUAUACAAGAGCUAUUUAACUAACACUUGUACAAAAAAAUAUCCAAGUGUUUGACACAACAUUAGAGCAAACAUGCAGUGCUUACACGUCCUAGGACAAAUGUGCAGCAACAUGCACUGUGAAUUACCAAACCAGCACAACAAAACAAAGUGGACACUUGUCCUGUACAUAGUUAGACAAAAUGACAUUCAAGCUAGUUUUUAUCUCAACACAUCCCCCAUCAUUGGUUCUUUUUCUUUAUCAAGUUUGCGAAUCUAUUAGCUUUGAUCUCCACCAGGAAUUUGCAUCUUUAACUCCUUUAUUCUUUUCGACGACUGGCGAGUAUUAUUUCCAGAUCUCUCCAGUUUAUUUCCUAGCAGCAAACAAUUUUAAAUCUCAUGACCUAAAUGACAGCAAUAGGUGCAAUAUGGAGGCAUUUUGGAGAACUCCACUUUUUGUGAAAAUCCUCCUGUGAUUUCUCUAGUCUCUUGUUUACCUACCACGAUCCAAACUUGAUCUAUUGGCGACUACAAACAAUCGUACUCAAUGCACACUCAUGCAACACUCCGACUGGUGCCGUUGGCGGUUGCCUUAUCCACGAACAACGACCUUUCAACUGUUUUGGCUAUCAUCAUAAGGGCAAACUUCUCAUGCAGAUGGGCCUUCAGAUUCGAAAAUGAAAUCCAGACCGGUACGAUCAACGACUCUUUUUCAGGUCAACCAUAUCCUUGUGAAGGCUAGCCUUAUUUCGAUCAUUCGCGGCAUUCUAGAGAAUUUCCCAACAACUAAAUAUUGGAACGGCUGUGCAAGAGUUACGAUCUCAUCCUCAAAAAACAUGGUGGCUGGUCGAUCUUUGUAUCUCAUAGGAUUUCGGGAGAUGGGGAUUAACGGGGGUUUGUCACUUGUAGCGAUCGUGAGAAAGGAUUUUUUAAGGGCUCUCGGUGAAACAGGGGGCUGUGGCUAUUGUGGUGGGAUUUGGUGACUUUGCGACAAAGCUUCAAAGGUUGACGGCUAUGGCUGUUGUGCUGCGGUUUGCAUGGGGUUGAUUGCCAACGGUCUUGGGUGGGGUGGGGGCGCCGUCGAUGAAUGGUUUAAGGGGUCUGGUGGUCUACUAGUGGCCAACCCAUGAUAAGUAGCAAGUGUGGGAAAUUCGGCUAGGUUAAGAGCAUUUGGUGUUGACAUUUACAA